rnacentral:rRNA from 1 species
AUGGCUAAGCAAGCUGGGAAUUCUGUGGGUGGUGUUCUUCCCCAUCCCCAUGUGAUUGGAAAUGCAUUUGCCCAACACUACUACAAAAUUCUGAAUGAGUCACCAGAGGAUGUCCAUAAGUUCUAUCAUGAUGACAGUAUUCUUGGUCGGAAGCCAAAUUCUGAUGGUAAAUUGACAUCUAUAACCACAAUGCGUGAUAUCAAAAAACACUUUGUAUCUACAUACCUCAAGGGAUGUUCGAUGCAGAUAGACAAUGUAGAUUCUCAGCCAUCCCACGAGGGCGGUGUGCUCGUUUUAGUUAGUGGGUCUUUUACUGUCCCUGAUGCCAUGAAUCGUAGAUUUACUCAGUCGUUCUUCCUUGCUCCACAAAAAGGAGGCUAUUUUGUUCUGAAUGAUGUGCUUAGAUACAUUCCAGUUGAGCCAGAAACACCACCUGUCAAGGUUCCAGAGCCUCCGUUGAUAGAUUAUUUCUGGGUAUGA